UCUCCACCGUAGGAUUAAAUAGAUCAUGACCGUCCAUUGAGGAGGUGGAAAGCCUAUAUAUACCCACCCCCUCCUCCACAUUUGCAUCAUCCAAAAAAAUCCAAGUCUUCUUGAGUUAACAAAGUAUUCUCCAAGUUAUUCAAGUAAGUCUUCCACUUUCUUAGUUCUAGUAUUUUUGGAGCUAUAUUUUCUUCUUCGUUCUUCUUCAAUUGUGGUUGUGAGUCUUGGGCUAGUAAAGCAUAAUUCACUACUCUAAGGAAGCAAUUUUCGGAAUUUGGGAAGUUGUUUUUCUUCACA
rnacentral:lncRNA from 1 species